ACAAUGAAGAGUUUGAUCCUGGCUCAGGAUGAACGCUAGCUACAGGCUUAACACAUGCAAGUCGAGGGGCAUCGGGAAGAAAGCUUGCUUUCUUUGCCGGCGACCGGCGCACGGGUGAGUAACACGUAUCCAACCUGCCCUUUACUCGGGGAUAGCCUUUCGAAAGAAAGAUUAAUACCCGAUAGCAUA
rnacentral:rRNA from 1 species